AAUGAAGUUCGAUAGGUAGAAAAACCGACACAAAUAAAUGAAAAUAUAGAACCAGAUAUGAUAAGAUCAAAUUCAGAGCCCAUUGUUAAGGCAUUUUUAAGGAGAUCCGAUAGAGUACCGCAUCAGUCAGAUAGAUACUAUGAUUUCUUGAUUCGAGAUGGUGAUCCUAUUGAACUCGAUGAGAAUGAUGAGGAUUCGAUCACCUACAUGGAUGCCAUGCAAAGAUCCAACUCUAAAAAAUAACUUGAGGCCAUGAAAUCCGAGAUAGAGUCCAUGG
rnacentral:lncRNA from 1 species